UCACACACACUCACACACGCUCACACACUCAGAGGGGAGAGGACCGACCAACCAGACCGACUAUUCCCCCCGGUCCACUGACGGAAGCCUAAAUAUCAAUUGAUCUCCACACUCAUCCAGCGGAGCCAGGCAGGGAGAACUGUUUAUUCUCCAGGUCUGAUUCAUUCUAGGGAGAGAAGCAAAGAUAAAAAAAAAAAACAUCCAGGAAUUCACGAGCAGCGAGGAGGAGAGAAAAAAACCCGAGCAGAUCUAGAAAAAGACGCUCAUGCCGAAUAAAGGAGCGUCGCUGGAUGUGAGGUGUGUUGUUUCAGGGGCGAACAGGCCGAACUUGUAGCGGGAUCUCACACACGCUCCCACCGACAAAUGAACUGAAUCACAGAGGUUUUAAUAAGUAAAGAAGAAAGACGUCCGCUGCUUCCAUCGAUUCUCUGCCACCGACAGCACCACAGACUUCUCAAUGAAGGAGCCUGACGCAAUCAAGCUCUUCAUUGGGCAGAUACCCCGAAACCUGGAGGAGAAGGACCUGAAGCCCAUCUUCGAGCAGUUUGGCAAGAUCUACGAGUUGACGGUGAUAAAGGACAAAUACACGGGGAUGCACAAAGGAUGUGCCUUCCUGACAUACUGUGCACGCGAGUCCGCCCUCAAAGCCCAGAAUGCACUGCACGAGCAGAAGACGCUACCAGGGAUGAACCGUCCGAUCCAAGUGAAGCCGGCGGACAGCGAGAGCAGAGGGGAAGACAGGAAGCUGUUUGUGGGCAUGCUGGGAAAGCAGCAGACGGACACCGACGUGAGGAAGAUGUUCGAGCCGUUCGGCAGCAUAGAGGAGUGCACGGUGCUCCGCGGGCCCGACGGCACCAGCAAAGGGUGCGCAUUUGUAAAGUUCCAGAACAACGCAGAGGCCCAGGCCGCCAUCAACGCUCUGCAUGGGAGUCGUACUUUACCUCACGAGACCAAAGGAGUUACGAUAUCCACGUUACCUCCACAGGGCGCCUCGUCCAGCCUGGUGGUUAAGUUCGCCGACUCGGAGAAGGAGCGAGGGCUCAGGCGGAUGCAGCAGGUGGCCUCUCAGCUGGGCGUCAUCAGUCCCAUGACCCUGCACCUCGGGGCAUACAACGCCUACACACAGGCGCUGAUGCAGCAGCAGGCCCUGGUGGCGCAGUCGGCCUACCUCUCUCCUGUGGCCACGGUGGCGGCGGUUCAGAUGCAGCAGCUCGCCGCCCUCAACCCCAGCAGCCUCAUUGCCACGCCGAUCGCAUCCAUCACCCCCUCCUCAGUGUGGGCAAACAUAUUUGCAGGUACCAGCACUCCCCCCUCCAUGGCAGGCACACCCGUGCCCGCUCUGCCUCCGCCAAUCGCAUUGAACAGCUACGCCUCCUUGCCAGCUCCCAACGGCCAAUCAGCAACCGAGGCCCUUUACACCAAUGGGGUUCACGCUUAUCAAGCUCAGAGUCCUGUCCUGGACCCUCUACAGCAGGCGUACACAGGCAUGCAGCACUACACAGCCACCUACCCUGCUGCCUACAGCCUGGUAGGACAGCCCUUCCCCCACCAGCCCCAACUGGUGGCCCAGCAGCCGCAGCAGCCACAGCAGCUGCAGCAACGGGAAGGACCCGAGGGCUGUAACAUCUUCAUCUACCACCUGCCUCAGGAGUUCACCGACUCCGAGAUACUGCAGAUGUUCCUGCCCUUUGGCAACGUCAUCUCUGCAAAGGUGUUUGUUGACCGAGCCACCAACCAGAGCAAAUGCUUCGGUUUUGUGAGUUUUGACAACCCGUCCAGUGCCCAGACUGCCAUCCAGGCCAUGAAUGGCUUCCAGAUCGGCAUGAAGAGACUGAAGGUGCAGCUGAAAAGGCCCAAGGAUGCCAACAGACCUUACUGAGCGAGUCUCAAGACCCGUCCGUACAUAUAUCGUGGAGAUAUACCGCUAAAACCUCCCCCCCGUCCUUCUCACUGCGUUUGAAAACCUAAGAGUUCAAUCAAGAAAAACCACUUGGGAUGUCCCAGCCUUUUUUGGUUGUUUGACCAACCGUAUAGCACAGGAGCAACACAAACAGCAGUAUCACACGUAUGCGCUUACAAAAAUACAGCAGUAAUAUCAGCAACGAUCUCCAGAAUCCACACUAUCAGAAGUGCUCCAGAUGUUCCUACUGUAUCAUUCCACAGCUGGAUUCAUUUAUAUUAUGUACAUACUCUAUUGUCGGCAACAAGAUCUACAUGUUAAGAAAAAGCAUAUCACUGAUGUUAUUCUACUGAACAGGGUUCUACUGUAUAGUGUGAUUUGUGGUCUAUGGCGUCAACAGAAGGCCAGUCUACAGUCAGAGGCUAAAGAAAAUACUAUUCUGUAUGAUUACCAUUGGUAAUAUUGUUAUGUAGAGUUAGUUUUAUUAUUUAUACGUAAAUUUUAAAAAAAAUCAUGGGGUAACGAUGCUGGAAGAUAAAUGGAUGUCCUCUCAGUGUACAUACCUUGGUUUUCAAAAUGGAGGUAAAAGGACUUAAAAUUGUCACGAGUUAAGAUUCUCUGCUGCCACAACUUUUCAAAAUUAACAAAGCGGAAGGAAGGGCUGAGAAUUUUUCUAUCUUGAUUUUUUACGUUUAAUUUAUUUGGUAAUCAAUUUGAUGAAAGGGGGGCGGGGGGGGGGGGGGGAGAUGUGAAAAUUUCUUUUUUAAUUUAAGAGGGAGGAAAAAAAAGAGGAUUCCUGUGGUCUACAAGACAAUGAACACACUUAUAGAGUUUUUAAUUACAUAAAUGUAACUAUGGAAGUAAAAAAAAACAAAAAACAAACAUAAUGUUUCUUUAUUUAUUCUCUACAAUCGCUGUUUUAAAACAUAUGUCUUUAAAAGAAAAUAAAGUACAAUUUAGAAAAAACAAC